UUAAGGGUUGUUAAUUAGUGGGACCCAAGUUUUGGGGUUCGUUAGGCUGUGGGGGCUUAUUAAGGGUUGUUAAUUAGUGGGACCCAGGUUUUGGGGCUCAUUAAGGUUCAUUGGGUGAUGGGGGACCCUGGGGUGGAGUUUAAUGAGCUUAAUGAGGUCACUGAGGUUAAUGAGGUUAAUGGGGCCCAUGGGAUUAACAAGAUCAAUGGGUUAAUGAGCUUAAUGACCUUAAUGAGGUCAAUGGGUUAAUGAUUUUAAUGAAGUCAGGGGGUUAAUGGGGUUAAUGAGGUUCAUGGCACUAACGGGGUCAAUGGGUUGAUGAGGUCAGUGGGUUAAUGAGGUUACCGAGCUCAGUGGGGUUAAUGAGGUCAGUGGGUUAAUGAGGUCAAAAAGGUCAGUGGGUUAAUGGGUUUAGCCAGGUUGAUGAGGUUAAUGAGGUCAAUGGGGUUGGUGUUAAUGAGGUUAAUGAGGUCAGUGGGGUUGGUGUUAAUGAGGUUAACGAGGUUAAUGAGUUGGGAUUGCGGUUAAUGAGGUUAACGAGGUCAGUGAGUUUAAUGAAGGAGCUUCCUGGGGGUCCCGGACCCUUCCUGGGGCAUCCCCUCCCCCCCUCCCCUCCCCUCCCCCCCGGCCCCUCCCCCUCCCCGCGGGGGGCGGGGCCGAUGUACAGAUUUUAUAGGGGGGGAGGGGCCGGCGCGUUUUUAAUUAACGGCGAUUUCGGGGCUAAUAAAGGAGGAUUUGGUUAA